rnacentral:rRNA from 1 species
GACGAACGCUGGCGGCGUGCUUAACACAUGCCAGUCGAACGGAAAGGCCCUGCUUUUGUGGGGUGCUCGAGUGGCGAACGGGUGAGUAACACGUGAGUAACCUGCCCUUGACUUUGGGAUAACUUCAGGAAACUGGGGCUAAUACCGGAUAGGAGCUCCUGCUGCAUGGUGGGGGUUGGAAAGUUUCGGCGGUUGGGGAUGGACUCGCGGCUUAUCAGCUUGUUGGUGGGGUAGUGGCUUACCAAGGCUUUGACGGGUAGCCGGCCUGAGAGGAUGACCGGCCACAUUGGGACUGAGAUACGGCCCAGACUCCUACGGGAGGCAGCAGUGGGGAAUAUUGCACAAUGGGCGGAAGCCUGAUGCAGCAACGCCGCGUGCGGGAUGACGGCCUUCGGGUUGUAAACCGCUUUCGCCUGUGACGAAGCGUGAGUGACGGUAAUGGGUAAAGAAGCACCGGCUAACUACGUG